rnacentral:pre_miRNA from 1 species
AGGAGGAUCAGCCCCAGUGGCGGGGCAGCUCUGGAAACCUGGAUUCAGCUCCGGCAGGAACUCCGUCUGCAGGGCCUGGAGGCUCCGGGGCGGG